rnacentral:rRNA from 1 species
UGCACUACAUAUACCACCCUGCAUCCCACUGCUGGCUUGCUUCUGAAGCUAAGCAGGGUUGGUCCUGGUUAGUCCCUGGAUGGGAGACCAGAUGCUGCUGGAAGUGGUGUUG